AUUGAACGCUGGCGGCAGGCCUAACACAUGCAAGUCGAGCGGAUGAAGGGAGCUUGCUCCUGGAUUCAGCGGCGGACGGGUGAGUAAUGCCUAGGAAUCUGCCUGGUAGUGGGGGAUAACGUCCGGAAACGGGCGCUAAUACCGCAUACGUCCUGAGGGAGAAAGUGGGGGAUCUUCGGACCUCACGCUAUCAGAUGAGCCUAGGUCGGAUUAGCUAGUUGGUGGGGUAAAGGCCUACCAAGGCGACGAUCCGUAACUGGUCUGAGGGGAUGAUCAGUCACACGGAAACGAGAAAACGGUCCGAACUCCAACGGAGGGCGGAGGUGGGAAUUUUUGGAAAUGGGGGAAAAGCUUGAUCCGGCCUGCCCGGGGUGGGAAAAAGGUUUUUGGGUUUUAAAAGCCCUUUAGGUGGGGAGAAAGGGGAGAAAGUUAAACCCUUGCUGUUUUAAGUUACCCAACAAAAAAAGCACGGCUAAAUUCCUG
rnacentral:rRNA from 1 species